UACUGAAUUUAGGCACGCCCUCUGCUAAACUCUCCUUCAAGGAGAAACUGAAGAUCCCCAAUGCUUACAUAGCUUUCUCUCCUCUACAAGCCACUUUGAGAAUGAUCUUUAAAUUAGCUCUUCACCCCACCCCCCACCCCAUCCUCUGUCCAACUUCCAAGGAUGGACGCUUGACCUUGUUCACAGCAGACAUCAGAGAAAGAAGAUGGGACUUCCUUCCUCCUGGAGCUGUCCUGGCCCUCGGAGCGCCUGUGUCCCCAGCAGAGAGAACCCGUCCUCAUCAGCUUUUAACCCCUGCAGAUGGCUUCAGCUCCCUCUCACUCCACCUUCUAGAGACGAUCCGUUGCCUCCAAUUCCUGAGACUCGGAGAGAUUCUGUCACGUAAACAGGCUUGUUCCUCACAUCUGCUAAAUUUGUUACCUCACAAUCAUCUGCUUCCAGCUUCCAAAAUAUUUUUGCUGCUGCUGUCUCUUUUGUUUUCCCUAUCCUUGUAGGUGUGUGUGCUUAAAAAAAAAUCUUUCCUGUUAUGUUAAUGCAAUUUGUGGUGGAAACACAAUAAAUUGCCUGUG